rnacentral:rRNA from 1 species
AGAGUUUGAUCCUGGCUCAGGAUGAACGCUAGCGACAGGCUUAACACAUGCAAGUCGAGGGGCAGCGAGGGCGUAGCAAUACGCCUGUCGGCGACCGGCGCACUGGUGAGUAACACGUAUGCGACCUGCCCCCUACAGGGGUAUAACCCGUAGAAAUGCGGACUAAUCCCCCAUAGUCCUGAGUGCUGCAUGGCAUUCAGGGGAAAGGUCAGCCGGUAGGGGAUGGGCAUGCGGCGCAUUAGCUAGUUGGCGGGGCAACGGCCCACCAAGGCGACGAUGCGUAGGGGUUCUGAGAGGAAGGUCCCCCACACUGGUACUGAGACACGGACCAGACUCCUACGGGAGGCAGCAGUGAGGAAUAUUGGUCAAUGGGCGCAGGCCUGAACCAGCCAAGUCGCGUGAGGGAAGACGGUCCUACGGAUUGUAAACCUCUUUUGUCGGGGAGUAACGUGCGGGACGGGUCCCGUAUUGAGAGUACCCGAAGAAAAAGCAUCGGCUAACUCCGUGCCAGCAGCCGCGGUAAUACGGAGGAUGCGAGCGUUAUCCGGAUUUAUUGGGUUUAAAGGGUGCGCAGGCGGCGCGCCAAGUCAGCGGUCAAAGUUCCGGGCUCAACCCGGUGUCGCCGUUGAAACUGGCGUGCUCGAGUGCGUGCGAGGAAGGCGGAAUGCGUUGUGUAGCGGUGAAAUGCAUAGAUAUGACGCAGAACUCCGAUUGCGAAGGCAGCUUUCCAGCGCGCUACUGACGCUGAGGCACGAAAGCGUGGGGAUCGAACAGGAUUAGAUACCCUGGUAGUCCACGCAGUAAACGAUGACUACUAGCUUUCCGGGGCGACUGGGCCCUGGGAGGCACAGCGAAAGCGUUAAGUAGUCCACCUGGGGAGUACGCCGGCAACGGUGAAACUCAAAGGAAUUGACGGGGGCCC